GAAACGCCCGCGUAGUUCACGGAUCGACAGUCGCGAAAAUAGAUGACAGGAAAUGCCAGUCUUCACCGGAAGUAACGUUACGGCGUUAUUUUAUUUAAACGUGUUCAGUGAUUCGUUCUUGUCAACAAAUAUUGUGGUCUGCAGAGUUUACUAUACGCUGUUCUACUGGGGAAAAAGUGACAAACAAACAGGGUGAUGAAUGUCCCCCAUAUGGCAAAAAUCAACUUGAGUGGGCAUCCACAACCAAAUGCUGGAAAAAGCUUCAAACAGACUGCAGUGUAUUCUGUCUUCAAGAGCACAUGUGAACAGUUUACCUCAUACCAGAAAGGACCCGGAGGCAGUGCAUGGUGUUCAACAUUCUCAUAUAUGCGCCAGAAAGGAAAAUGGCAGUGUGUUGAAGACAUUGACAAACAAUUUGAAAACUAGCCUUUGUGCUAAGCCUGGCAGUCUGUGGCUGAUGACAUUGUUUGUAGUCUCUCAUGUUUGCUUACACUUAUAAUAACCUUUGUAAGACCUCAGUUCAUGAACUUGUGAAGAAUUAUAGUUCAUGAACUAUUCACUUACAGUUCGUGAACAGAAAAUGAGCCAUUGAAAAAUAGAAGGGAAGUGUUCAUGAACUGUUCAUGAACAGAAAAACCCUAAAGAACUUUUCAAGAACUGUGUUGUUCAUGAACUGUUCAAGAACACUUCAUACCAUUGGUGUUCAUGAAUAGUUCAUGAACACUUCAUGCCAAAAGGGUUCAAGAAUAGUUCAUGAACAUUUCAUGUCAUUAUGGUUCAAGAAUAGUUCAUGAACACUUCAUGCCAUUAGGUUUCAAGAAUAUUUCAUGAACACUUCAUGCCAAUAGUGUUCAUGAACAGUUCAUGAACUAAAAUUUCAAAAAUAUUUCAUUGACGUGGCUCAUUUUCUGUUCACUGACUAUUCAUGAACUAUUCAUGAACUCGGUUCACGAACAGUUCAUGAACUGUUCACUAAUUAUUCGUGAACUGCAGAACAACAUUUCGCAGGGGUGACUUUUGGAAAACCUUGUAAUUGACUCACCUUGUGUUUAAGGUUAAAUCCGACGAAUACGCCAUCUUAAAAUGUUUAUAUAAACGCGGCACCUAAAUCUAACCGGCACUGUCUAAUAAGAGUUGAAUGUGAUUUUCGAUAUAUAUAUAUAUUAUCACGUUUGUAAUUUAUAAAUUAUAACUUAAUAAACAAACUUUAUUUCGUGAAUAAAUAAUUUCCUACCAA